UACGGAGGAUGCAAGCGUUAUCCGGAUUUAUUGGGUUUAAAGGGUGCGUAGGUGGUUUUAUAAGUCAGUGGUGAAAGUCUGCAGCUUAACUGUAGGAUUGCCAUUGAUACUGUAAGACUUGAGUGUGGUUGAGGUAGGCGGAAUGUGUAGUGUAGCGGUGAAAUGCUUAGAGAUUACACAGAACUCCAAUUGCGAAGGCAGCUUACUAAGCCAUUACUGACACUGAUGCACGAAAGCGUGGGGAUCAAACAGG
rnacentral:rRNA from 1 species